rnacentral:misc_RNA from 1 species
GAUGAAGAACGUAGCGAAAUGCGAUACUUGGUGUGAAUUGCAGAAUCCCGUGAACCAUCGAGUCUUUGAACGCAAGUUGCGCCCGAAGCCAUUAGGCCGAGGGCACGCCUGCCUGGGCGUCACACGUCGUUGCCCCCCCAUCUACUCCUUCGGGAUUGCGGGGGGCGGAUGAUGGCCUCCCGUGCGCCUCGCCGCGCGGUUGGCAUAAAUGCCAAGUCCUCGGCGACGCACGCCACGACAAUCGGUGGUUGCGAAACCUCGGUUGCCCGUCGUGUGCGGUCGUCGCGCAUCGAGGGCUCGAAAAAAUUGACGGGUUCCGGCUCGGCUUUCAACGCGACCCCAGGUCAGGCGGGGUUACCCGCUGAAUUUAAGCAUAUCAAUAAGCGGAGGA